rnacentral:rRNA from 1 species
UACAGAGGGGGCAAGCGUUGUUCGGAAUUACUGGGCGUAAAGGGCGCGUAGGCGGCCUUCUAAGUCGAACGUGAAAUCCCCGGGCUCAACCCGGGAACUGCGUCCGAUACUGGGAGGCUUGAAUCCGGGAGAGGGAUGUGGAAUUCCAGGUGUAGCGGUGAAAUUCGUAGAUAUUGGGAGGAACACCGGUGGCGAAGGCGGCCAUCUGGGAGGGUACUGACGCUGAGACGCGAAAGCGUGGGGAGCAAACAGG